AUGAAUAAAAUAUCGUGUGGUAACUAUACAGCGCCUGUCAGGAGCGAACAAUUUACAGCCUAUGAUUCAGCGCGAGUUCGGAGAAAGAACUCGUCACGAAUUGUAAGAUAUUCUGAAAUGUUCAAGUCUCUCUCGCUGUGCCAAUACUUUCCGAAAUUCCACGUAGAUUAAGAAGCAGAACAUGUAUGGAGUUGUUUUAAAUAUUUUCGUUCGAAUAUCCACUAAUCUUAUCGUUACAUGGGUCAGUUGUUAUGUAAAAUAUUAGCGAUAGUGGUUGACAUCCGUGAGAUCAUCGUAUAAGUAUGGAAAGCGACGCAAGCUUUUUCAUUCCCAAUUUUAACGAUAAUUCGUCCCAAUGAAAUUUGGGAACUGUUACAUGAAAAACCAGUUACCAUUCUUUCGAUAUGAUAUCGGCAUGCAAAAUAGAUCAACGCUUGGCACUCGGCCAAAACAAAACAAAUCGAAAGCAGCGAUGCGUUCCCUUAACCCAAUUAACGCGAGCACCGCGUUACAUUAUGGCUGGCUUUUACGGACACGAAAGCAUGGACACAUAGAUUAGGGUUAUGGAAAUGUUAGUGAUUGUCUUUUAACGUGUAAAGGAAUUCCUUACCGAAGACCUGGGUGGUAUAACAUUGAAGGGAAGCAGUCCCUUCCCAGCUGUACCCCAGCACUCAAAAAAACUGGACCAGCAACACCACUAGUCACCCCCGGAGGAAGGCUAGUAAUUCUAGGACCAUGGAUAUUUGAAUCAGAGUCAGUGGCAGUAGUUAUAGCACUAGUUACCGGUGCUUGUACU